CAGCCGCCGCGGUAAUACGUAGGUGGCAAGCGUUGUCCGGAAUUAUUGGGCGUAAAGGGCUCGCAGGCGGUUUCUUAAGUCUGAUGUGAAAGCCCCCGGCUCAACCGGGGAGGGUCAUUGGUAACUGGGAAACUUGAGUGCAGAAGAGGAGAGUGGAAUUCCACGUGUAGCGGUGAAAUGCGUAGAGAUGUGGAGGAACACCAGUGGCGAAGGCGACUCUCUGGUCUGUAACUGACGCUGAGGAGCGAAAGCGUGGGGAGCGAACAGGAUUAGAUACCCCAGUAGUCCCUGUCUCUUAUAU
rnacentral:rRNA from 1 species